rnacentral:lncRNA from 1 species
GAAGACCCAGCUCAGAACUCUGACGAACACAAACAUUUCAGGGAGGAAGAGGAACCCAGAGGAAGUCACAAAGAGAGGAGUUUAAGAGGUGAGAGCAGCGUCACAGAAGCCAUGGGAGAGCUUUUCAAGACUAGAGGUGAUUUCUGCUGACAGGGUCACAGCGGAGCCUGAAACACGUCCAUCAGAUUUAUCAAUGUGAACGUCAUCGGUGACGUUGGCAGGAGCAGUUAGUAACUCAAUAAUGUCGGAAGCCACAAAGUGUGGAAGAGGGAAAGGUUCCAUGGUCUGCAGCUAAGAACCUUAACCAAUAACACAGCGAGUCACUCCAGAUACGGUUGCAGUAACUGACCCUCCAGGGUGCGAGAGUCUCGCCUGGGAAUGGGAUUGGCCAUCUGACCUGGCUGGGUGUGAAGGUGAUGAAGAUCCUACUAGUGCUGGGGAUAUUGUUACCGGCAACAUUCUUGUCAUAUGUCUUCUGAUGUGCGUGGCAAAAAUUUCUCUUGGACACAAGAAGAAGAUGACCUUCUGCAAGCCAGGAAGAGGACUCACCAAGAACUGAAUCUGCCAGCACCUUGAUCUUGGACUUCCUGGCCUCCAGCACUGAGAAAUGAACAUCUGAAAUUUGAGCCACUCAGUCUAUGGUAUUUUUUAUAGCAGCCCAAGCAGAC